GUUACACUGUUCUUCUCCUCCUCCCGUUAGCCUUAGGGUGGUAAUGACUUCCUGCUGUUGCUAGUCCCCAGUGCCUCACCAUCCUGGUGCUUUCCCGUAACCCUGCCCACACCGCUGUAAAUAGUCUUUUCAUGCACGUGUCUGAGCCCUCUGGGGUGAAUGUGACUAUACUGAUGCAAUAAUCUAGCUUUCAUUUCAGAGUUUGACUCAUAGCACUCUAGAAAUUACAUGAUUUUUUUCCACCAAUAUUUCUGGAGUGGGUGAUUUGCUUUUAAUAUCAUGCUUACUAUAAUUUCUAGAUGAACUCUAGAAAGGUUGAAUUCCUUGAUAAAGCCAGGGGAGGAAAAGACACUCUCUCAGAGACAAGAUAAAAAGAUCCUACAAGAACAGCGAGAAGUUGUUCCCAUGAUUGAUGACAUUCCUGAUUCUAACUCCUUGAUGAAAAGAAGCGGGGGAAAUCCAGGCUCUGGAAAAAGAGUGGACGGAGUGACCCCAGUCCUAGAUCCGCCACUUGCCAGCGUUCCUGAGAAAGUCACUGAAUGGCUCAGAACAUCUAUGAAGUGAGAACAUCAUAAUAUAACAUCUUUUUCAGUCAUUGUGAAAAUAUGAGACGAUGAAUAUGAGAGCGCUUUAUAAACUUCUAAGCCAUCUCCCAUGACUGAUCUCCAAGAUUCUCUCAAGCAUGGCCGAUUGUCUGCCUUUGUUCAAGUAAUUUCCCUUACCCAAAAUAUAAUCCUCUCUCUUGUCAUCUUAUGGAUGUCUCACCUUUCCUUCUACCUCCAACCUGUUUAACCUCCAUGAAAAUAUUUUGAAUCACUUCAGCCCCCAGCAAUGUUUUUCCUUUUUUCAUAGCCCAUAUGUUCUGUAAUGUUCACUUGGCUCUCUGAAGGACUCUUGACAACAGGGAUUCUCUGUUCUUUAUCUAUUCUCCCCUCCACCAGAGUCUAGCACAAUGUUUAAUUACAAGAAUGUGUUUGUUGGUGGUGAUAGCUAAAGCUUCAAAUAAAAAUUAUUCAGAACUC
rnacentral:lncRNA from 1 species